ensembl:misc_RNA Metazoa_SRP Metazoan signal recognition particle RNA
GCCGGGCGUGGUGGUGCAUGCCUGUAGUCCCAGCUACUUGGGAGGCUGAGGCAGGAGAAUCCCUUGAGCCCAGGAGUUAGAGGCUGCAGUGAGCUAUGAUCAUGCCACUGCUCUCCAGCCUGGGGCACAGAGUGAGACCCUGUCUCUA